rnacentral:tRNA from 1 species
CGGGCUGUGGUAUAACGGUAUUACGCACGCUUCGGGUGCGUGUAAUCCGGGUUCGAUUCCCGGCAGCCCGA